rnacentral:lncRNA from 1 species
CUUAAAAUGUGGAGAGUGGCUGGGUACGGUGGCUCACACCUGUAAUCCCAGCACUUUAGGAGGCUGAGGCAGGUGGAUCACGAGAGUUACAAAUGCACUUAAAAAAGGAAAUAUAUCUCUUUCACAAAUGGGUAUGAUUGUCAAUUGCUAUAAAGGAAGAAGAAGGAUUGCAAGAGUUUGGCAAAUGGAGCAUUUUCCAACGAGUCUGAGUGUCUGGAUCAUGGGCCUGUGAAUCCCUAAGUCCUUUGAAGGUGUGGAUGCCCCAUAUCUGCUGACUCAGAGCUGGCCAGCUCUCACCUCCUCAGGUGCUGCCUUUUCUCCUGUGCAGCAAAGAAGAUGAGGCCCAGAAACCUCCAAGCUGCCCCCAAGGCACAAGAGCAGACCUUCAGCUGUUCUCCCAGGGGAGUAGGCUGGAGUGCUGUGGCUUGAUUUUGAUCUCAGCUCAUUGCAACCUCCACCUCCUGGGCUCAAGUGAUCCUCCCACCUCCAUCACCCGAAUACUGGAACAACUGGUGAGUGCCACCACA